rnacentral:rRNA from 1 species
GUCGAACGGUGAACACGGAGCUUGCUCUGUGGGAUCAGUGGCGAACGGGUGAGUAACACGUGAGCAACCUGCCCCUGACUCUGGGAUAAGCGCUGGAAACGGCGUCUAAUACUGGAUAUGUGACGUGAUCGCAUGGUCUGCGUCUGGAAAGAAUUUCGGUUGGGGAUGGGCUCGCGGCCUAUCAGCUUGUUGGUGAGGUAAUGGCUCACCAAGGCGUCGACGGGUAGCCGGCCUGAGAGGGUGACCGGCCACACUGGGACUGAGACACGGCCCAGACUCCUACGGGAGGCAGCAGUGGGGAAUAUUGCACAAUGGGCGCAAGCCUGAUGCAGCAACGCCGCGUGAGGGACGACGGCCUUCGGGUUGUAAACCUCUUUUAGCAGGGAAGAAGCGAAAGUGACGGUACCUGCAGAAAAAGCGCCGGCUAACUACGUGCCAGCAGCCGCGGUAAUACGUAGGGCGCAAGCGUUAUCCGGAAUUAUUGGGCGUAAAGAGCUCGUAGGCGGUUUGUCGCGUCUGCUGUGAAAUCCGGAGGCUCAACCUCCGGCCUGCAGUGGGUACGGGCAGACUAGAGUGCGGUAGGGGAGAUUGGAAUUCCUGGUGUAGCGGUGGAAUGCGCAGAUAUCAGGAGGAACACCGAUGGCGAAGGCAGAUCUCUGGGCCGUAACUGACGCUGAGGAGCGAAAGGGUGGGGAGCAAACAGGCUUAGAUACCCUGGUAGUCCACCCCGUAAACGUUGGGAACUAGUUGUGGGGUCCAUUCCACGGAUUCCGUGACGCAGCUAACGCAUUAAGUUCCCCGCCUGGGGAGUACGGCCGCAAGGCUAAAACUCAAAGGAAUUGACGGGGACCCGCACAAGCGGCGGAGCAUGCGGAUUAAUUCGAUGCAACGCGAAGAACCUUACCAAGGCUUGACAUAUACGAGAACGGGCCAGAAAUGGUCAACUCUUUUGGA